rnacentral:rRNA from 1 species
CGGGAGGCAGCAGUAGGGAAUCUUCCACAAUGGACGAAAGUCUGAUGGAGCAACGCCGCGUGAGUGAUGAAGGUUUUCGGAUCGUAAAACUCUGUUGUUAAAGAAGAACAAGUGUUAGAGUAACUGUUAACACUUUGACGGUAUUUAACCAGAAAGCCACUGCUAACUACGUGCCAGCAGCCGCGGUAAUACGUAGGUGGCAAGCGUUGUCCGGAUUUAUUGGGCGUAAAGCGAGCGCAGGCGGUUUUGUAAGUCUGCUGUGAAAGCCCUCAGCUCAACUGAGGAAGUGCAGUGGAAACUACAAAACUUGAGUACAGAAGAGGAAAGUGUAACUCCAUGUGUAGCGGUGAAAAUGCGUAGAUAUAUGGGAAGAAACACCAGUGGGCGAAGGCGGCUUUUCUGGUCCUGUUACUGACGCUGAGGCUCGAAAGCAUGGGUAGCGAACAGGAUUAGAUACCCUGGUAGUCCAUGCCGUAAACGAUGAAUACUAGGUGUUGGAGGGUUUCCGCCCUUCAGUGCCGCAGCUAACGCAUUAAGUAUUCCGCCUGGGGAGUACGACCGCAAGGUUGAAACUCAAAGGAAUUGACGGGGGCCCGCACAAGUGGUGGAGCAUGUGGUUUAAUUCGAUGCUACGCGAAGAACCUUACCAGCUCUUGACAUCUUCUGCCAACCCAAGAGAUUGGGCGUUCCCUUCGGGGACAGAAUGACAGGUGGUGCAUGGUUGUCGUCAGCUCGUGUCGUGAGAUGUUGGGUUAAGUCCCGCAACGAGCGCAACCCUUAUUAUUAGUUGCCAGCAUUUAGUUGGGCACUCUAGUGAGACUGCCGGUGAUAAACCGGAGGAAGGUGGGGACGACGUCAAAUCAUCAUGCCCCUUAUGAGCUGGGCUACACACGUGCUACAAUGGAUGGUACAACGAGUCGCGAAACCGCGAGGUCAAGCUAAUCUCUUAAAGCCAUUCUCAGUUCGGAUUGCAGGCUGCAACUCGCCUGCAUGAAGUUGGAAUCACUAGUAAUCGUGGAUCAGCAUGCCACGGUGAAUACGUUCCCGGGCCUUGUACACC